CCUGCCCAAUGCAACUAGAGUAAUGUUUGUUGUAAACGGCGGCGUUAACGUGAGCGUCCUAAGGUAGCGCGAUAAUUUGCUUUUCAAUUGAAGGAUGGUAUGAAAGGGUUAACGAAGAAGAUGCUGUGUCUAAAAAUUUAAUUUAAACUAACUUUAAGGUGAAGAGGCCUUUAUGUAAAAGAAGGACGACAAGACCCUAUGAAGCUUUAUCUUAAUUGGAGCUUUCAGGCUUUUAUACGAUUUUGAUGGGAGAUCAGUAGAAAUAAGUCUUUUACUAUAAUAUUAAUCUUACUAGAAUUUCCUAACUUUAUAUGUGUGGCUAGCUACUCUAGGGAUAACAGCGCAAUUUCCCCCGAAAGAUGGUAUUGGAGGGGAAGAUUGCGACCUCGAUGUUGGCUUUAGAUGCCCUAGAGGCGUAGAAGCUUCUGAUGGUAGGUCUGUUCGCCCUUUAAAAUCUA
rnacentral:rRNA from 1 species